AAUAAACCGACCUUCCUCGUUCUUCUUCUUCCUCGUAGUGAGUCUGCCUCACGCGCUGCGGAAGUGCGGAAAAUGCAGCUUUAGCAAAAAGCAGUGAUAAAACGCGACCAAUCGUGUGCCUGACCGUUUCUAGUCGUCUUCCUCGCUACAUCAUCAAUUCUUACGUUUUCAGCAGAGAGGAUUCUUCCUUCGCAGGCCAGGUGGAGCAAUCUUCGCCAUCGUUCGUCCUUGAGGCGAAAUCGGACGACUCUCGUUUUGUUUUUUUGUUGAGAAAUUUUACAAUUUUCCUACUAUUGACAGCUUCAACCUUAUCUCUUCGUGGAUUUGAAUUUCAAAAUGGGGAAGAGAUCCCGAUUUCGCCCCAAUCUUUUGGGGAAUUUCUCCCGCUUUCUUCAUCCCAAAACCCUGGAAGACCCCUAUCGGUCCUAGGCUUUUUAUUAGUUAGUCCUGGUAAAGCCCCAGGCGUCGUAUUUUUUUGAAACGAGGCUCUCGGUAACGCGACAUAAAGACAUAGAAUGCAAUGUAAGGGUUACGACGGAUGGACCUUACUAAGGCAAUUUCUAAGAUAAGAUGGACGACUCGGCUGCCUUCCCGGUAAAAAUCUUUCCCCACGGUUGCAACAAGAAAGCAAAAGCCCGUCGUACCUAGCGCCAUCUGAAUAGUUUUCAAAGCAAGCAGUACGCUGCAACAGAGCCCAUUCAGUAUCGUCUUUGUUUUAGAAUAUAUAUAUAUAUAUAUAUAUAUAUAUAUAUAUAUAUAUAUAUAUAUAUAUAUAUAUAUCUCUUUUUGUUCAGUUCAGGGGAGAUUUUUUUUACUCGAAUUUUGAGAGGCAGAUAACAGGGAGUGAAAUUUUAGUCUUUAAAAUUUUGGGAGAGAAAUUUGGGUGAGUAAUAAAUAACAAAGAGAUUUUUCCUUUCCAGAGUAUACAAGAAACAUUUCGAAUUCUUAGCCAAGACGCUUCAGCUUUAGUUCCAAGAGAACAGGGAAUCAAAUUUCAGUCUGAGUCAAACAUCGGGUAUUAUUUCUCUAUUUAUUAUUCGUAGCCAGAGUUAGGGUGGUGGAAGUUGUGUUCUCGAGUUCGUUUCUAGCAAGUUUCGCUGCACCAUAAAAAGGUAAACCACUGGUAAUAUUUUUCUUUUUGCUUGUUUCGACUUCUCUGUGUUCUUUUUGUUUGCUAUUGCUAUAAGAAUCGUUAGUAGUUUAUUGUUAAACAUAUCUAAAUCUAAGGCCGUUUUUUCACUGUUAGAUUUUGUUCAGUUAGUAUUUUGAGUUUCGCUGUUUCAAUCUAUUCUAUUUUGUUAAUUGAAAAUAUGACCCUAAUAUGUGUGUGGGCUGUGUGUAUAUUGAUCAUUUAUUUAGCCUAAAAAUGCUAUUGCGUCAAGUAUUCAUGGCUGCAUUUAAUUAGCAUUCACAUCGUUUUACUCGUCUUAAGUGUAUUGCUUCUUCAUCAUCCUUUGUUCUCCUUUUUUUUGGCUUUUGUUUUGAUAUUUAAAAUGUUUCCAAUCCCUUAAAAGCUGUCCUAGCGUCUGAUGUGUUGCCUUCAUGAGAGUUAUUGCCUAGAGUUUUUUUCUCAUUGGGUUAAUAUGAAGAUUGCAUGCUAUUUCUAAUAUCUUAGUUAUUUCUAAUAAUAUUGAUUCAUGGGAUGAAGGCAUUUUGUCGAUAGGUUGCAAUUCUGUUGAUUUCUUUCCCGUAAUUUCGAAACUCACUAUAUCGUUUUGUCAUAUCACAUAAUUUAGCAUGUUUUUAUCUUUUUUUUGUUUUCCUUUUGUUUUCAUUCUUAAGAUAGUCAAAUUCUAAUUUAUUUCCUUGAGGCAUGUGAACUAUGACCUGUAUUCUGUUCUCUUGUUCUUGAAAUCCCUCUCUUCUCGUUUUUCUUUUGACUAUUUUCAAAUGGGGUUGUAUGAGUCUGCAUAUUGAUUCUUAGUAAUAGUAGAUUAUCAAAAACAACUUAUUGUUUCGUAGUGCCUUUUCGCAUUCUUAAAGGCCAUGAGUAAGUUUGCCAUAGUUCUUUAGUUGUUAUAUAGUUUUCAGUUCAUGUUAUGUGUUUUCUGCUAGUUUGAGAUAUGCUUAAUUGACACAUAUAGCAAAGUUUCAUUUUCUGCUUGGAAUAUGCUACCGCAAAAUUGCUGACCAGAUUUGGCAUACGAAAUUGGAUUGAAUUUUUUUUAAACUCUUGAAUGUUGCUUGCCUACAUAUAGUUAUCCUAUUUUACUUAUUAGCUGUGGUAUGUGUACUGAUCCAAGGAUCAAACUCAUCAGUUUAUUCAUGCCAUAAAAUAUUUGCUUGGCUAUAUGAAGCUUGUGUCCAGUUAUCUUGUUAUAGGAAAAGCAUGUUGUGAGAAUUUUUUAGGAAAUGAAAAGGAAAAAUCGAUCCAUGCACUUUGUUCAUCUUUAAUUUAUUUUUCAUAUACUCAUUCUGAUUAAAUUUUCCGCUUAUUACAUUUUCUAUUACCUGUUGGGUUCUAGCAAUAAUUGAAUUUAAUUUGCAUAUGGGAGUUAAUCAUUAAGUUUCUUUCCAAAUUUAGAUAAUGUAAAUUUUUGAAUAUUGUCUUUCCUUGGUGUGUCAUUAUUUUAUUCCAUGGCUAUGUUUUAUGGAAUAUCACAUCUUUGGACAGAGCAUGGUCAUUUUUAGUUAUCACUGAAGCGAUUUUCCCCUAGAACAUAUUGAUUAGUUUGUUCAAUUCUUAACCAUCUGGAAUCACUGUAAUCUUUUAUCUUUAGAAAGUGAUUUUUUGGUGCUUGCAUGUGAAAAAAUAAUAAAUAAAUUCACCGUCAAGUUUGCUUGUCUAAAAUAGCUUGUUCUGAAUUUGUCCGCUUUUAAUAAAAACUGAUAGCUUUCCUUAAUUAGUUGUUUCUUUGUUCGAUAAAUACUAAUCCUUUUAUCAUUUUUGCAUUUAAAAUCCGUUCGAGUUCCAUCAUGAACUCACGCUCCCCUUGCAUUAUUGGAGAGUCGUAAAGACUCAUAAUUCCUCUUUUCGAGUCAAUCCAUAAAGAUGAUUAACGGACUUUGGAGUCGAAAAUUGAAGCAAGUCGGAAGAGUUGAAGAGAUUGGGACAAUUAACCCAAGUUUAUUUUAUUAUCGUAUUGUAUUUAUAUUGGAUAUCAGCCUUUGUCGCUUUUUAUUUUUUGUAUUUAUUAUUUGUUAAGACUAAGACAGGUAUGUAAGAAAAUGGGUCGAAAACCCAAAAAGUCAAAUGGGUCAAAACCCAAAAACAGGUGGGUCCAAAUGCCGGUCAAGGCAAACUUCAAACCCGGAUUUUGACCCAAAUCUCUCUCCCUCCCUUCCUCUCUCUCUCUCUCUACAUGCUUUUAAUUACUUAUCUGUUUGUUUGUCGCUAGUUUAAAGUUAGCAAGCUCCAAUCCCCGCAAACACCGCUUUGUUUUAACGACCUUAUGGAAUCAAAAUUAAGUAGUUUUUUUGAAAUAUUUCUUCAAGUUAGAUAUUUUACUUAAGUAUAAAACUAAGUUUUCAUUUCCCAUACAACUCUAAGUAUUUUUUAUUUUACACAAGUUUUUAGCCAAAUCGUUAGUUAUCGUAUAACCGCGAGUUAAUGGAAGUUUUAGGUGCUUUUAAACCUUCCUAAGACGUUAAUAGGAAUUCCCAAAUCGUUUAAAGUUUUCAAAUGAUUUUUUUGUUCAAGUCCUUGAAAAUAAGUUUUCUUAAUUUUCUCAAAAUUAAGUGGCGACUCUAAAGAGUCAAAACUUACAAAAAAAAUACUUUUAAUAAAUUAGAAAUGUCGACUCUGCCGGGCACUAGAAGGAUUCUAACCUUAAAACUAACAUUACUUGGCUUUAAUUACUUAUUUGUUUACUCUAUCAUAUUUAAAAUUGUUGCAUUUUCAUGAUAUAUUUUCGCCAAACGGCAAAUAGAUGCAUUAGGAAAAUGAAAUUUACGUGUCUUUUUACAGCUUUCUUCAGAAAUACACAAUAGUUUCAUUUGGAGACAUCAAACGAAUAGUUGGAAUGCGGUCAUCUGUCAUCGUUUGGUAGCUUCACCACGAUGUUUUUCCGACUCGAAUAACCGUCAACUUGAAAUCUAUUCUAGUAAACCUAAGCUAGAGCGAAAUCAAAAUAAAAAAAAAAAAGCAUUAGCCUAAGACGGCUUAACACCCAAGGUGUAUUAAUUCAAUUUAGUAGAAAAUUGGCAAAACCGUGUCCAAGGUCUCCU
rnacentral:lncRNA from 1 species